AUGGACGAUGAAUCUAGCAGAUGCGAUAUCCCGGGGUGCACAUUCCGGGAUGAAUGCAAGCUCUCAUACCAAUAUCUAGAGAAAAUCACAAACAACUUCUCUACUGAGCGAGAACUUGGCGCAGGUGGUUUCGGUGUGGUAUACAAGGGAUUGCUACCAAAUGGAGAACUGAUAGCUGUGAAGAAGAUUAACCCAUUAACGCCUGGUUCUGGGAAGCAAUUUGAGAAUGAGGUUCAUCAUCUUUUGAGCCUUAACCACCCGAAUAUAGUGCGAUGUGUGGGGUAUUGCUAUGAAACACAACAUUUACGUUUAAAGUACGAGGGAAAAUACAUAUUUAUUGAGGCAAGUGAGAGGUUGCUUUGUUUGGAAUAUAUGCCUAAGGGGAGCCUUGAUUACCAUCUUGCAGAUGAAUCGCAUGGACUUGAUUGGCACAAGCGCUACAAUAUAAUUAGUGGGAUUUGCUAUGGCUUGCAUUACCUUCAUGAGGAGUGGCAAGUUAAUACUCCUAUUGUUCACUUGGACCUAAAGCCAGCGAACAUAUUGCUUGGUGACGAUAUGCUACCAAAGAUCGCGGAUUUUGGUCUGUCAAGACUUUUCAGUGCACAACAAACUCGAGUUCACACUGAAAAUUCUGAUGGAACACGUGGUUACAUGGCACCAGAAUACAUAAAUCACGGUACAAUCACAACUAAGUCAGACAUAUUCAGUUUGGGCGUCAUAAUCAUACAGAUAAUAACAGGGUACAGGAAGUACCCUUCACCUUUUGAUACAGAAUUGUCGUACCAUGACUUCAUUGAACUCGUACUUGAGAAAUGGAAAAAAAGGUUGGGAGCAGCAGCACUAGAAACAGACUACCAACAAAUAAGAAGUUGCCUGGAAAUGGCUCUAAGCUGCAUGGAAACUGACCCAAUGAAAGGCCGGCAACAACGGAAAUUCUCGAGAAGCUUAGUAGAUGGGGAUGCACCAAUUUCCAUGUUAGUGGUGCUGAAAGAUCACUAA
rnacentral:rRNA from 1 species